UACAGAGGGGGCAAGCGUUGUCCGGAUUUACUGGGCGUACAGCGCGCGCAGGCGGUUGCGUAUGUGAGCGGUGACAUCCGCGGGCUCAACCUGCGGCGGCCCGCUUACACAGCGCGACUGGAGGCAGGGAGAGGGAUGUGGAAUACCCGGUGGAGCGGUGAAAUGCGUAGAGAUCGGGUGGAACACCAGCGGCGAAGGCGGCAUCCUGGCCCUGUACUGACGCUGAGGCGCGAUAGCGUGGGGAGCAAACGGG
rnacentral:rRNA from 1 species